UACGGAGGGGGCUAGCGUUGUUCGGAAUUACUGGGCGUAAAGCGCACGUAGGCGGCUUUGUAAGUUAGAGGUGAAAGCCCGGGGCUCAACCUCGGAAUUGCCUUCAAUACUGGCUAUCUAGAGUAUGGGAGAGGUGUGUGGAACUCCGAGUGUAGAGGUGAAAUUCGUAGAUAUUCGGAAGAACACCAGUGGCGAAGGCGACACACUGGCCCAUUACUGACGCUGAGUCUCGAAAGCGUGGGGAGCAAACAGG
rnacentral:rRNA from 1 species